UACAGAGGGUGCGAGCGUUAAUCGGAAUUACUGGGCGUAAAGCGUGCGUAGACGGUUUUGUAAGUCGGAUGUGAAAUCCACGGGCUCAACCUGGGAAUUGCAUUCGAGACUGCAAGGCUUGGGUGCGGAAGAGGGAAGCGGAAUUUCCGGUGUAGCGGUGAAAUGCGUAGAUAUCGGAAGGAACACCAGUGGCGAAAGCGGCGUCCUGGUCCGACACCGACGUUCAGGCACGAAAGCGUGGGGAGCAAACAGG
rnacentral:rRNA from 1 species